rnacentral:rRNA from 1 species
GUUUGGUUAAGUUAGAAAGGGCGCACGGUGGAUGCCUUGACACUAGGAGUCGAUGAAGGACGGGACUAACGCCGAUAUGCUUCGGGGAGCUGUAAGUAAGCUUUGAUCCGAAGAUUUCCGAAUGGGGAAACCCACCAUACGUAAUGGUAUGGUAUCCUUAUCUGAAUACAUAGGGUAAGGAAGACAGACCCAGGGAACUGAAACAUCUAAGUACCUGGAGGAAGAGAAAGCAAAUGCGAUUUCCUGAGUAGCGGCGAGCGAAACGGAACAUAGCCCAAACCAAGAGGCUUGCCUCUUGGGGUUGUAGGACAUUCUAUACGG